UGGUCCUACGGGGCGCAGCAGUAGGGAAUAUUGCUCAAUGGGGGAAACCCUGAAGCAGCAACGCCGCGUGGAGGAUGAAGGUUUUCGGAUUGUAAACUCCUUUUGUUAGAGAAGAUAAUGACGGUAUCUAACGAAUAAGCACCGGCUAACUCCGUGCCAGCAGCCGCGGUAAUACGGAGGGUGCAAGCGUUACUCGGAAUCACUGGGCGUAAAGAGCGCGUAGGCGGGAUAGCAAGUCAGAUGUGAAAUCCCAAGGCUCAACCUUGGAACUGCAUUUGAAACUGUUGGUCUUGAGUAUCGGAGAG
rnacentral:rRNA from 1 species